UUUUUUUGGUCGUUUAUAAGUGUUCAUUUUUAGUUAUAGGCUCCGAUUGGUAACCACUUUUGAGGUAAAUGAAUGAGUAGGAAAGUCGUGUUCCUCUUUGUUCUUCAGUUUUUUUACCAAUUGCAAGGUAUUUUUGUUCCAUUUUCAGAUAUGUGGGUCCUACAUUUUUCCUCAUCAUUCCUAAAAAAAAAAUGAUAAAACAAAAUUCUUUCACCCCAAAAUUGUAAAAGAACCAAGAGGAACAAAAAAAUAA
rnacentral:sRNA from 1 species